AUUGAACGCUGGCGGCAGGCCUAACACAUGCAAGUCGAGCGGUAACACAGGGAGCUUGCUCCUGGGUGACGAGCGGCGGACGGGUGAGUAAUGUCUGGGAAACUGCCUGAUGGAGGGGGAUAACUACUGGAAACGGUAGCUAAUACCGCAUAACGUCGCAAGACCAAAGAGGGGGACCUUCGGGCCUCAUGCCAUCAGAUGUGCCCAGAUGGGAUUAGCUAGUAGGUGGGGUAACGGCUCACCUAGGCGACGAUCCCUAGCUGGUCUGAGAGGAUGACCAGCCACACUGGAACUGAGACACGGUCCAGACUCCUACGGGAGGCAGCAGUGGGGAAUAUUGCACAAUGGGCGCAAGCCUGAUGCAGCCAUGCCGCGUGUAUGAAGGAGGCCUUCGGGUUGUAAAGUACUUUCAGCGGGGAGGAAGGCGAUAAGGUUAAUAACCUUGUCGAUUGACGUUACCCGCAGAAGAAGCACCGGCUAACUCCGUGCCAGCCGCCGCAGUAA
rnacentral:rRNA from 1 species